rnacentral:rRNA from 1 species
CGGAGCAUGUGGUAUUAUUCGAUGCAACGCGAAGAACCUUACCUGGGUUUGACAUAUACCGGAAAGCUGCAGAGAUGUGGCCCCCUUUGUGGUCGGUAUACAGGUGGUGCAUGGCUGUCGUCAGCUCGUGUCGUGAGAUGUUGGGUUAAGUCCCGCAACGAGCGCAACCCUACUCUUAUGUUGCCAGCACGUUAUGGUGGGGACUCGUAAGAGACUGCCGGGGUCAACUCGGAGGAAGGUGGGGACGACGUCAAGUCAUCAUGCCCCUUAUGUCCAGGGCUUCACACAUGCUACAAUGGCCAGUACAGAGGGCUGCGAGACCGUGAGGUGGAGCGAAUCCCUUAAAGCUGGUCUCAGUUCGGAUCGGGGUCUGCAACUCGACCCCGUGAAGUCGGAGUCGCUAGUAAUCGCAGAUCAGCAACGCUGCGGUGAAUACGUUCCCGGGCCUU